rnacentral:rRNA from 1 species
GAAAACUGCUCUACUAUCCUGAACAUAGCCAUCAUAUCUGAUUUUGGAAGCUGGGCAGGGUCAGUUCUGGCUAGUACUUGGAUGGGAGACCAUGAAAACCACCCCAGGAAUCU